CAGAGGUUUCCAACAUGGGAUCAGCUGCUCUCACUUCCCAGCAGAACAUCCAAAGGAUCUGCUUCUCCCUGGAAACUGCUCUCCUACUCCCAAGAGGCCUUUUCCCCAAACCAUGAUGCUGUUUGCUCUUCAGUUCUAUCUUCCUCAGAGUGUUGGGGUGGGAAGGGGUCUCCUCUCACACACAGGAGGGACUGUGCCUCAAAGAGAGAUGAGAGCUCAUCAUCAUCACAGCUCUCAGCCAGUGUUCAGACCCACCGCGGCUGAGCUGUCAUCUAUAUAGAAACUGCCGAGCCAAAAGAUGCGGCUGAAUUGCAGAGAAAUAGAUAGUUCCUUCCCUUUAAAGGAGUUUGAAAAACUUCCAGACUGUGUGCUGGGGAGCAGGAUCCAUAAGUACUCCCUCCCUCCCUCCUUCCUUCCCUCCUUCUCUCUCUCCCUCCCUCGCACCUUCCUUCCUUCUCUCCCUGCCUCCGUCCCUCCCUCCUUCCUUCCCUCUUUUCUCCCUCCUUCCUCCCUCCCUGCCUUUUCAUUCAUUUCAUUCAGCAAGCACUUGAGGGGGAACUAUAUGGGUCUGUCACCAUGCUGGACAGAACUAACCUACUGGAGGAAAGGCCACCCUAUUUCCCUCUGGAUAAAAUACACUUACCUCCCUGGAGAACUUUGAGAGGCAUUUUGUGGGAUCUGCAGCCGGGACUGGUCGUAUGCAUGUCUGUAUGCACUGGAGACAGGACUAGAGGAAUGGCACGGCCUCCGGGCCUGUUUCCCAGCUGGCAAAGGGAGCAGGUAGUGUUGAAGUCAGUCUUAUACCUGUCAUCUUUCUUCCUCUACACUGGGACCUCCUGGGGCGGAGAGACCACACCUCACUCAUUAUGAGCCUCACUGGGGCUUGGCACAGAGUAGGGGCGUUUGCCUGGUCCCUGAAUGAAUGAAUGAAUGGUAGAUGAGCACCUCACACGUCCCUGCCAGCUGACCUUCCCUGCACCAACAUAAGGUGGAAUGUUCCCAGAUGUGAAGCUGGGACAUCGUCUCCUCCCGCCCUCGGACACUGGUGCUCCUGGUUCUUGGGCCUGUGGACU